AAUUAAUAUCUACAUCAGAAAGUGUAGAUAGCCUAGAAAGACGAUAAGACCCUAUAAAACUUUAUUACUCUCUAAAAGGAAAGAUUUAGUCUUAUUUCUUUUGUGAAGUAAUUAAGCUGGGGCGGCCACAAAUAAUCAUUUGAAACUUUAACACUACUUUGUGAAAAUAAAGAUCUUGAAAAGAUUUAGAACUAGUUACUUUAGGGAUAACAGCGUAAUCCAACAUAGUUUAAAUCUAUGUAGGGCUUGCGACCUCGAUGUUGAAUUGAAAUACCGUUUUCUUAAAGGAGAAAGGGAGGUCUGUUCGACCUUUAAUUUUUCACACGAUUUG
rnacentral:rRNA from 1 species